rnacentral:rRNA from 1 species
UACGGAAGGGGCAAGCGUUGUUCGGAAUCAUUGGGCGUAAAGGGCGCGUAGGUGGUCUUGUAUGUCUACCGUGAAAGCGUACGGCUCAACCGUAUUUAGUCGGUAGAAACUGCAGGACUUGAGGCUGGGAGGGGCUGGUGGAAUUCCCUGUGUAGCGGUGAAAUGCGUAGAGAUGGGGGAGAACACUCGUGGCGAAGGCGGCCAGCUGGACCAGUUCUGACACUGAGGAGCGAAAGCGUGGGGAGCGAACAGG